rnacentral:lncRNA from 9 species
UUGGAAAAGUAAUAAAUACCUCAAUGAGUAAUGGAAAUACAGAAAUCAAGGAUCAAUGGAGAUGAGGUCCGAUUUUUUUUUUUUUUUUUUAAAUUUCUUGGUCUGCUUUGUACUCUUCAGGAUAAAUGCGCUGGAGUAGAUUUAAGCAUCUCCCAUGGUCAGGGGCUCUUUGGACGCGUCUGUGUUAGGAGCCUCAAGACCCGUAACAGUCCGUCUUGUGCUGAUUUUAGCACUCUGCCCUGGCCUCAUACUCAGUGGUUUCUUAGGAGCGUGGAGAUCGUGUGAGUAAUCUUCAAAGCACUCGUCUUGGUUUGGGUGGUUUCUAGGGGCCAGUGCCUUCUUAAGAAGUAGGAACUUUUAUCACAGAAGGGAGCCACAGUCCAAGGAGGAACAUGGCAUUGAUAGGAAAUACUGCAUUGAGGCGUCCAUGUAGGACACACUGAGGUCAAUUCAAGAAACAGAUCUAGUGUCUGGGAAAUGAUUUUCUAGGUAGACAUUCGGGAUAUCAAGGCUCUUAUUCUAGUUUUUUUUUUUCUGAUUCAUGUGUAUUUCUUUAUUCGUAAGUCAUAACUUAAUAAGCAAAUCAACAGGCAAAGAGUAUGUGAAGAAGAAGAUUCAUGUGCUUGGACCUUUGGUGACAACUGGUGGUGUCCAAGUCAAGGCUGGUUAAUAGCAUCGUUUGCACAUCUGAGGUCUAACACGAGAAGACAUCUCACCCAUUCCUCUGCUGGAAAUGGCCCUGUGGAGAGCCGUGCCAAAUACUCCGUUAGGCUGUUGUUGCACUUUUCUGGGUCAAGGGUAAUGAUUCUAUUACUACAAGUGCAGUCUAAGUAAAUUAAUGCAUGAAGAUGUAGCAAAUAGGAAUAAAUAGGGAGUUCCCAUUGUGGCCCAGCAGGUGGUGACCUUAACCACUAUCCAUGAAGAUGUGGGUUUGACCCCUGGCCUCACUCGGUGGGUUAAGGAUCCAGUGUUGCCAUGAGCUGUGGUGUAGGUUGUAGACGCAGCUCAGUUGUGGCUGUGGUGUUGGCUGGCAGCUGCAACUCUCAUUCACCCACUAGCCUGGGAAUUUCCAUAUGCUGCAGGUGUGGCCUUAAAAAAAAUGAAUAAAUAAGCAAUGAGGAACUAGUCUAUAGCACAAAGAACUCUACUCAGUAUUUUGUAAUAACCUAUAAGGGAAAAGAACCUGAAGGAGAAUAAGAAUGUGUAUGCACAACGGAAUCAGUUUGCUAUACACCUGAAACUAACACGGCAUUGUAAAUCAUCUAUACUUCAGUAAAAUACAGGAAUAAGUGAAUAAAAACAUGAACCAACUAUACCUACCUAAUGAAACAGGUAUCUAUUUUUGAGGAGCUGGAUUCUUUUUUUUUUUUUUUUUUUUUUUUUUUAAUCCUUCAGAAUGCAGCACCUAUAGACAGAUGUAUGAAGUGUCAAUUUUACAUUCUGGGAUCUAUUUUUGAGGAGUUGGAUUCUUUUUUUUUUUUUUUUUUUAAUCCUUCAGAAUGCACCACCUUAUAGACAGAUGUAUGAAUUGUCAAUUUUACAUUCUGGGAUGUUCUUUGGUCUACUGGUGGUUUGUUCUAUUCCUAAAUAGGAAAAACGUUUAUAAAAUUAAAUAAAAGAUUAAGCACAAUUUA